rnacentral:misc_RNA from 1 species
UAUAAGAGACAGGUGAAUCAUCGAAUCUUUGAACGCACAUUGCGCCCCUUGGUAUUCCAUGGGGCAUGCCUGUUCGAGCGUCAUUUGUACCUUCAAGCUCUGCUUGGUGUUGGGUGUUUGUCCCGCCUUUGUGCGCGGACUCGCCUUAAAGCAAUUGGCAGCCGGCGUAUAGAUUUCGGAGCGCAGCACAAUCCGCGCUUUGUACUCAUUACGACGACAUCCAUCAAGACAUUUUUUAACUCUUGACCUCGGAUCAGGUAGGGAUACCCGCUGAACUUAAGCAUAUCAAUAAGCGGAGGA